rnacentral:tRNA from 1 species
GCGGCCGUGGCCUGCCUGGUCUAGGACUCAGGCCCUCCAAGCCUGCGACGCGGGUUCAAAUCCCGCCGGCCGCA